rnacentral:rRNA from 1 species
UAGGGAAUCUUCGGCAAUGGGGGCAACCCUGACCGAGCAACGCCGCGUGAGUGAAGAAGGUUUUCGGAUCGUAAAGCUCUGUUGUAAGUCAAGAACGAGUGUGAGAGUGGAAAGUUCACACUGUGACGGUAGCUUACCAGAAAGGGACGGCUAACUACGUGCCAGCAGCCGCGGUAAUACGUAGGUCCCGAGCGUUGUCCGGAUUUAUUGGGCGUAAAGCGAGCGCAGGCGGUUUGAUAAGUCUGAAGUUAAAGGCUGUGGCUCAACCAUAGUUCGCUUUGGAAACUGUCAAACUUGAGUGCAGAAGGGGAGAGUGGAAUUCCAUGUGUAGCGGUGAAAUGCGUAGAUAUAUGGAGGAACACCGGUGGCGAAAGCGGCUCUCUGGUCUGUAACUGACGCUGAGGCUCGAAAGCGUGGGGAGCGAACAGGAUUAGAUACCCUGGUAGUCCACGCCGUAACGAUGAGUGCUAGGUGUUGGAUCCUUUCCGGGAUUCAGUGCCGCAGCUAACGCAUUAAGCACUCCGCCUGGGGAGUACGACCGCAAGGUU